UACGUAGGGUGCAAGCGUUGUCCGGAAUUAUUGGGCGUAAAGAGCUCGUAGGCGGUCUGUUGCGUCGGCUGUGAAAACCCGGGGCUCAACCCCGGGCCUGCAGCCGAUACGGGCAGACUAGAGUUCGGCAGGGGAGACUGGAAUUCCUGGUGUAGCGGUGAAAUGCGCAGAUAUCAGGAGGAACACCGGUGGCGAAGGCGGGUCUCUGGGCCGAUACUGACGCUGAGGCGCGAAAGCUAGGGGAGCAAACGGG
rnacentral:rRNA from 1 species